rnacentral:rRNA from 1 species
UACAGAGGUCUCAAGCGUUGUUCGGAUUCAUUGGGCGUAAAGGGUGCGUAUGUGGCGCUGUAAGUCAGGCGUGAAAUUUCGGAGCUUAACUCCGAAACUGCAUUUGAUACUGCGGUGCUUGAGGACUGGAGAGGAGACUGGAAUUUACGGUGUAGCAGUGAAAUGCGUAGAGAUCGUAAGGAAGACCAGUGGCGAAGGCGGGUCUCUGGACAGUUCCUGACACUGAGGCACGAAGGCCAGGGGAGCAAACGGG